rnacentral:rRNA from 1 species
AUUGAACGCUGGCGGCAGGCCUAACACAUGCAAGUCGAGCGAGCGGCGGACGGGUGAGUAAUGUAUGGGGACUGCCCGAUAGAGGGGGAUAACUACUGGAAACGGUAGCUAAUCCCGCAUACUAUCGGAUAACCCAUAUGGGAUUAGCGAGUAGGUGAGGUAAUGGCUCACCUAGGCGACGAUCCCUAGCUGGUCUGAGAGGAUGAUCAGCCACAUUGGAACUGAGACACGGCCCAGACUCCUACGGAGGCAUCAGUGGGGAAUAUUGGCCAAUGGGCGCAAGCCUGAUGCAACCAUGCCGCGUGUAGGAAGCAGGCCCUAGGGUUGUAAAGUACUUUCAGUCGGGAUGCGUUACCGACAGAAGAAGCGCCGGCUAACUCCGUGCCAGCAGCCGCGGUAAUUC